CAGCAGCGAGGAAUAUUGCGCAAUGGGCGAAAGCCUGACGCAGUAACGCCGCGUGAGGGAGGAAGACCUUCGGGUUGUAAACCUCUUUUUGUAGAGACGAGCGAGGACGGUAUCUAUAGAAUAAGUCUCGGCUAACUACGUGCCAGCAGCCGCGGUAAGACGUAGGAGGCGAGCGUUAUCCGGAAUCACUGGGCGUAAAGCGCAUGUAGGCGGCUGUACAAGUCGUGUGUUAAAGCCCUUGGCUCAACUGGGGGAGGUCAUGCGAGACUGUGCGGCUAGAGGGCAGGAGAGGCACGUGGAACUCCCGGUGUAGCGGUGGAAUGCGUAGAGAUCGGGAAGAACAUCAGUGGCGAAGGCGACGUGCUGGGCUGCACCUGACGCUGAGAUGCGAAAGUGUGGGGAGCAAACGGGAUUAGA
rnacentral:rRNA from 1 species